CAUAUCUUUCCGCGCUAACCCCGGUCUAGUAGCUAGGAAGUAACACACUAGUAGCAUCCCCCAUCAUCCAGCCUCGCGGUUGCUACAGUUAGCUUCGCUUUCCUCCAGCCCAUCCUUCUAUACACGAUUGACCUGAGCUGAGCCGCCUCCGACCCGUCUCGAGAGGGAGGGAGAGGGAGAGCGAGAGCUAGCGCGCGCGAUCGCAAAGAGAGCGGUGAAAGAUGAAGGUGCAGUGCGACGUGUGCGCGGCCGAGGCGGCGUCUGUGUUCUGCUGCGCCGACGAGGCCGCGCUGUGCGAGGCGUGCGACCGCCGCGUGCACCGCGCCAACAAGCUCGCCGGCAAGCACCGCCGGCUCUCGCUGCUCAGCCCGGCGGCGCCGUCCUCGUCGGCGCAGCAGACACCGCCGCCUCCGCUCUGCGACAUCUGCCAGGAGAAGCGCGGGCUCCUGUUCUGCAAGGAGGACCGGGCGAUCCUGUGCCCCGACUGCGACGUGCCGGUGCACACGGCCAGCGAGCUGGCCAUGCGCCACACCCGGUUCCUGCUCACGGGCGUGCGCCUCUCCGGCUCUCCGCAGAGCCCGCCGCGCGCCCGCCGCCGUCGGAGGAGGACGAGAACGACAGCAGCAGCAGCAGCAUCUCCGAGUACCUGACCAAGACGCUGCCCGGGUGGCAUGUCGAGGACUUCCUGGUGGACGAGACCGCCGCCGCAACUGCCAUUGGCGUCUCCGCAGACGUGUCGUAUCAGGCGGGAGGGCUAGCUCGGACAGGCGGCCCGCAGGACGGCUACUACUCCGCGUGGAUGGCGCCGGAGCAGAUCUUCUGCGAGGGCAAGGGCAGCAGGAUGCCGCAGAUGGCGAUGUGCAGCAGCAGCAAGAGACCCAGAGCCACGUCCUCCUAUUCUUACUGGUGAACAACCCAACAGGAGACGACCGUGUCAGGAGACCACCUCUCUCUCCCCAGGGAACUGCAGAAGCACGUGUAGGACUCGCAAUUUCUGGAAUUCUUCCACGUGCAGCGGAAUUCGGCGUGGGGUCCAAGUUGAUUGGAGUUUAGUGCAAACUUGUCAAAUUUAAACCAAAGUUGAAGGAGAUGCCGCGAGCAAUAUACAUGUUGGGCAACAGAAUACGGUCAUGGGUAGUAGAAAAGCACGCCCUACACAUUCGCGGGGCUAGCGGCGGCUUAUGUUCACACGUCAAAUCACACCGUCAUAUGUAUUUCUUUUUUUUUAAAAAAAAUCCUCCGUAUAUCCCCUCCAACUCUCUUGCCACCAAGACAGUCCUGAAUGAAAUUAAAAUUUAGAAAUAGAGUUCGGUUACACAGCA